rnacentral:rRNA from 1 species
GAUUAUGGCUCAGGAUGAACGCUAGCGACAGGCUAACACAUGCAAGUCGAGGGGCAUCACGGGAGUAGCAAUACAACUGGUGGCGACCGGCGCACGGGUGAGUAACGCGUAUGCAACCUACCUAUCAGAGGGGAAUAACCCGGCGAAAGUCGGACUAAUACCGCAUAAAACAGGGGCACCGCAUGGUGAUAUUUGUUAAAGAAAUUCGCUGAUAGAUGGGCAUGCGUUCCAUUAGGUAGUUGGUGAGGUAACGGCUCACCAAGCCGACGAUGGAUAGGGGAACUGAGAGGUUGGUCCCCCACACUGGUACUGAGACACGGACCAGACUCCUACGGGAGGCAGCAGUGAGGAAUAUUGGUCAAUGGGCGGGAGCCUGAACCAGCCAAGUCGCGUGAAGGAAGAAGGAUCUAUGGUUCGUAAACUUCUUUUGCAGGGGAAUAAAGUGCAGGACGUGUCCUGUUUUGUAUGUACCCUGAGAAUAAGGAUCGGCUAACUCCGUGCCAGCCGCUGC